CCUACGGGUGGCAGCAGUGAGGAAUAUUGGUCAAUGGGCGCGAGCCUGAACCAGCCAAGUAGCGUGAAGGAUGACUGCCCUACGGGUUGUAAACUUCUUUUAUAAAGGAAUAAAGUGAGGCACGUGUGCCUUUUUGUAUGUACUUUAUGAAUAAGGAUCGGCUAACUCCGGGCCAGCAGCCGCGGUAAUACGGAGAAUCCGAGCGUUAUCCGGAUUUAUUGGGUUUAAAGGGAGCGUAAAUGGGUUGUUAAGUCAGUUGUGAAAGUUUGGGGCUCAACCGUAAAAUUGCAAUUGAUACUGGCAGCCUUGAGUACAGUUGAGGUAGGCGGAAUGCGUGGUGUAGCGGUGAAAUGCUGAGAUAUCACGAAGAACUCCGAUUGCGAAGGCAGCUUACUAAACUGUCACUGACAUUGAUGCUCGAAAGUGUGGGUAUCAAACAGGAUUAGAUACCCUUGUAGUC
rnacentral:rRNA from 1 species